UACGUAGGGUGCAAGCGUUGUCCGGAAUUAUUGGGCGUAAAGAGCUCGUAGGCGGUCUGUCACGUCGGCUGUGAAAUCCCGAGGCUCAACCUCGGGUCUGCAGUCGAUACGGGCAAACUAGAGUAUUGCAGGGGAGACUGGAAUUCCUGGUGUAGCGGUGAAAUGCGCAGAUAUCUGGAGGAACACCAGUGGCGAAGGCGGCUUCCUGGCCUGCAACUGACGCUGAGACGCGAAAGCGUGGGGAGCGAACCGG
rnacentral:rRNA from 1 species